UACGUAGGGUGCAAGCGUUGUCCGGAAUUAUUGGCGUAAAGAGCUCGUAGGCGGUCUGUCGCGUCGGAUGUGAAAACCCAGGGCUACAACCCGUGGGCCUGCAUUCGAUACGGGCAGACUAGAGUUCGGUAGGGGAGACUGGAAUUCCUGGUGUAGCGGUGAAAUGCGCAGAUAUCAGGAGGAACACCGGUGGCGAAGGCGGGUCUCUGGGCCGAAACUGACGCUGAGGAGCGAAAGCGUGGGGAGCAAACAGG
rnacentral:rRNA from 1 species